rnacentral:rRNA from 1 species
GUAUCAUGGCUCAGGAUGAACGCUAGCGACAGGCUUAACACAUGCAAGUCGAGGGGCAGCAUGAUAAGUAGCAAUACUUAUUGAUGGCGACCGGCGCGCGGGUGAGUAACGCGUAUGCAACUUACCUAUCAGAGGGGAUAGCCCGGCGAAAGUCGGAUUAAUACUCCAUAAAACAGGGGUUCCGCAUGGGACUAUUUGUUAAAGAUUCAUCGCUGAUAGAUAGGCAUGCG